CGGAGGGUGCGAGCGUUAAUCGGAAUUACUGGGCGUAAAGGGUGCGUAGGUUGUUCAUUAAGUUAUCUGUGAAAUUCCCGGGCUUAACCUGGGCAGGUCAGAUAAUACUGGUGGACUAGAGUAUAGGAGAGGGUAGUGGAAUUUCCGGUGUAGCGGUGAAAUGCGUAGAGAUCGGAAGGAACACAAGUGGCGAAGGCGGCUACCUGGCCUAAUACUGACACUGAGGCACGAAAGCGUGGGUAGCAAACAGGAUUAGAUACCCUGGUAGUCCCUGAG
rnacentral:rRNA from 1 species